rnacentral:rRNA from 1 species
AUUGAACGCUGGCGGCAGGCUUAACACAUGCACGUCGAGCGAGCGGCGGACGGGUGAGUAAUGUCUGGGAAACUGCCUGAUGGAGGGGGAUAACUACUGGAAACGGUCGCUAAUACCGCAUACAAUCAGAUGUGGCCAGAUGGGAUUAGCUAGUAGGUGGGGUAAUGGCUGACCUAGGCGACGAUCCCUAGCUGGUCUGAGGUGAUGAAAAGCCACACUGGAACUGAGACACGGUCCAGACUCGUACGUGAGGCAGCAGUGGGGAAUAUUGCACAAUGGGCGCAAGCCUGAUGCAGCCAUGCCGCGUGUGUGAAGAAGGCCUUCGGGUUGUAAUGUACUUUCAGCGAGGAGGCGUUACUCGCAGAAGAAGCACCGGCUAACUCCGUGCCAGCAGCCGCGGUAAUAC